rnacentral:rRNA from 1 species
UACGUAGGUGGCAAGCGUUGUCCGGAUUUACUGGGCGUAAAGAGCGCGCAGGCGGUCGUUUAAGUCGAAUGUGAAAGCCCCCGGCUCAACUGGGGAGGGUCAUUCGAUACUGAUCGACUUGAAGGCAGGAGAGGGAAGUGGAAUUCCGGGUGUAGUGGUGAAAUGCGUAGAUAUCAGGAGGAACACCGAUGGCGAAGGCAGCUCGCUGGGACGGUACUGACGCUGAGGCGCGAAAGCGUGGGGAGCGAACAGG